AACCAUGUGAUACACACAUAGCGAAUUAUUCUUUCGCCUUUUACUAAAGAAUACCGUGUGUUUGUAAUAUUAAGUGGUAUACGCCUAUUUUUGAAAGAGUUUUUCUUGAAGAACUCU
rnacentral:snRNA from 1 species